rnacentral:rRNA from 1 species
UGGAGAGUUUGAUCCUGGCUCAGGAUGAACGCUGGCGGCGUGCCUAAUACAUGCAAGUCGAGCGAACAGACGAGGAGCUUGCUCCUCUGACGUUAGCGGCGGACGGGUGAGUAACACGUGGGUAACCUACCUAUAAGACUGGGAUAACUCCGGGAAACCGGGGCUAAUACCGGAUAACACAUGAAACCGCAUGGUUUCAUGAUGAAAGACGGUUUUGCUGUCACUUAUAGAUGGACCCGCGGCGUAUUAGCUAGUUGGUAAGGUAACGGCUUACCAAGGCAACGAUACGUAGCCGACCUGAGAGGGUGAUCGGCCACACUGGAACUGAGACACGGUCCAGACUCCUACGGGAGGCAGCAGUAGGGAAUCUUCCGCAAUGGGCGAAAGCCUGACGGAGCAACGCCGCGUGAGUGAUGAAGGUCUUCGGAUCGUAAAACUCUGUUAUUAGGGAAGAACAAGGAUGUAAGUAACUGUGCAUCCCUUGACGGUACCUAAUCAGAAAGCCACGGCUAACUACGUGCCAGCAGCCGCGGUA